AGCGAACGCUGGCGGCGUGCUUAACACAUGCAAGUCGAACGUGAACGGGCUUCGGCCUUAGUAAAGUGGCGUACGGGUGAGUAACACGUAGGUAAUCUACCUUACCGUUUGGAAUAACCUGCCGAAAGGCGGGCUAAUACUGGAUAGAGCGAUGGGAGUCGUCAAGACACUUUCGGGAAAGGGAGCCUGAUAAGGGCCUUCGCUGUAAGAUGAGCCUGCGUCUGAUUAGUUAGUUGGUGGGGUAAUGGCCUACCAAGACGAUGAUCAGUAGCUGGUCUGAGAGGAUGAUCAGCCACACUGGAACUGAAACACGGUCCAGACUCCUACGGGAGGCAGCAGUGGGGAAUCUUGCGCAAUGGACGAAAGUCUGACGCAGCCACGCCGCGUGAGUGAAGAAGGCCUUCGGGUUGUAAAGCUCUGUCGGAUGGGACGAAAAACACUAAGUUUAAGGGAUGUAGUGUCUGACGGUACCAUCAAAGGAAGCACCGGCUAACUCUGUGCCAGCAGCCGCGGUAA
rnacentral:rRNA from 1 species